GUUACAUUCAAAGAGUAAAAACGAACGAACUAAUUAAAUAAGGUCAAACGUCGACAGUGGCGGGCGCGGCGGCGGCGGCGGCGGUCGGCGUGCGCGCACGCAUAGCGAGCUACGUACGCCAGCAGUCCGCGGCGGCGCGUCUCGUGCCCGCUCAUCUGUCACUGCGCAGCGCAUCAUCAGUGUUACAGUAAUGCACUAGUCUGCCAUUUAUCGUUAGCUUGUACGCAAAGUGACUGAAUCACGAUGACAGUGUUGCAACAAUAUCGACCAUCACGGAGUAUUAAUUAGUUCAGGAAUGUCUUCUGCUUUGCCGUAAUGGAAUAGUGUGUGGCAGUGGGGAGGUCAGUGAACGCUGAGGAUUGCCAGAUCCCGUGAUCGGAACUAUGUAUAGCUCGACUACCCUGCGGGAGGUGACAGUGGUGGAUGGUGUACAACUAAUAAUAGCCUCCCCUCCAGCGCGAUCAUUGGAACGCUGACGGGAGCGCGCACAUGUGGCGCCCGUCGGCGUCGUAGUCGGCGUGCACGUUUAUUUUCGAAGCGGUCGUCACGCGGCGCGGUUCACGGUGUUUCUUACAUAAGAGCCGGCCUCCGGCGAGUCCGGAGCCGAGGUUCAGCCGUGCACUUCGGCCAGUCCUCGCACGCUGCAGGUCGCUGCACGUUCGGGUAACCGAUCCGAUGGACGCGCGCCGCCGGUUCUAUUUCGGGAAAAUACAAAUUUGGAAUGGAUGGUACUCCCGAGUCGUAAGCGAACUCCGCCGGUUGACUCCAUUUUUAGAGCUGGUCUGCGCGUGCGCAGCGAGCGCGCUGCCAGUACUCAGCGAGCUGCCAUCACGCCGCGUCGCUCGCCACCCCCACGUUGUCGCCUACUGUCGCGUUGUGCUCCCAACUCCAUCACCCAAGAGAUGGCGUCACGGACUGAACCACUGCUGCAUAUUAUUCAUAUGUAACAGGUAGUUGCUAAUUGCAACUGCACGCGCCUGCAGUACACUCAAGAAUGAAGACACAAAGCCUUGCGCGAGUUCCGUGCUUCCUUACUUCCCAUAGUGCUUAUUAUCGUAUGGAAUGUAAAGAAGUAUGGAGCUGCGCGGGCGUGCCCUCGGGUCCGGAAAUCGCAUCAUCCUGGUUCACAUGUGUGACAGAAGCUUUGUCUUGUUAUUUGUGAUCACAGUUCUAGUGUUACAUUUUAAUUUAAUUGUGUGAUGUAGCUGUUAGUAGUUCACUAGCAGCGUGUAUAAUUGACAUGGAUUUUUUACACUCUACAAUGUGAAAAGCAAUAUUUCUCAUUUGUCUCUAAAACAUUAUUCCUAGGAUGAGCUGUGGUAAAUAUUAACAUCGUUUAUUUCAUUAAUUAAAUAGUCGAGCGAUGAAUUACCGAACUAAGACCACAUUGUUUUGUGGUAUUUUUACUUUUUAAAUAGUUACGUUCAGUUCUUUUUCAAUUUAAGUUCUUUGAAUAAUAAAAGUAAGAAAAAGAAAGAUUGUUUAUUCGGUGGCGAACUGUCGUAAAAUAACAUCUGGCGUAGGUAACAGUUCUGACUAAGGCAACAUAAAUAAACGCGAGGCUAACGCAGCCCGGAGCAUGAAACUCCACUCCUAACUUUAAAUUAUGUGUGGGUGUAGACAAGGCGAAAUUACCGAAAUAAUUAAAUUAUUCGUAUCUAUAAAUUACUAAAUUAUUUCCUAAUUAAAAACGCAAUUCACAUACAACAUAAGAUUAUUUUAAUGAGCCAAUGCCAAUGCAUGUUAUAAAAAUGUUUUGCCAUUUUGACUAUAUCUAAUUAAACAUAGAUAUCGAUAUAUCUAUCGAAAGAUAUAUCUAAUUUUUGAAUCUGAAUAUUUAUUCAAGUAUUCCUUAAAACAUAAGGAUUCUAUGUAUAUACAGAUCAUAAAUUAGCACAUAAAAUACAAUACACUUGGCACAUUAUGUACUUUCUUCUUGCUAGAUAGAAACAUCUGCAUAAUACUUUAAUAGAUAUUUUCAUAUCAUAUUAAUUUAACUGUGUAUAUUCGAAAGUUAUGUGGUAAUAAUGAGUAUGUAAAUUUUAAUGAGAAUUUAUUUGCAGAAAUGUGUAAUGAAUAAUGUAUAUAUUGUGUUAUGCAUAAGUUAUCUUGGAAUCUAGAUGGUUGGAUUUCAGUGUUUGAGUAAGGAACAUUGCUAAAGCGUUUAUCUAGUGAGUGGAUGGCAAAAAAGGGGAAACAAAAAACGGCAGAGCGUUGGGGCCGCGCCUGCGCCACAUCUGGAGGAGCACUGCAUCUCAUUAUGCGGAUCGGUCGCGGCUGAAUGGACGCCCGUGCCCUCGUCGAACAAUGCUCCAAUAUAACUAUAUUAUUUGGACAUUACAUUGUUUCUUGCUUUUAGCUGUAUUGUUCCUCAGUUCCGUAUUCUAAAACUUCUAUUCAUAUAUUUAGAUUUUUAUGCCCGACGAACUAAGUUGUAGCGCAGAUGUCGACCGACUGGCUAAUUACUGUUAGAUUUUUUAAACAUAGAAACGAUUAUGUGGAAAUAAUAUCCGUUUUAUUAACUU